rnacentral:tRNA from 1 species
GAUUUCAAGCUUGUUGGUCUGUGAAACCAGAGAUUCUGGGUUCAAUCCCCAGUGGAGUCA